UACGUAGGUGGCAAGCGUUGUCCGGAUUUAUUGGGUUUAAAGGGUGCGUAGGCGGCUUUGUAAGUCAGUGGUGAAAUAUGGCAGCUCCACUGUCAAGGUGCCAUUGAUACUGCGGAGCUUGAGUACAGAUGAGGUAGGCGGAAUUGACGGUGUAGCGGUGAAAUGCUUAGAUAUCGUCAAGAACACCUAUAGCGAAGGCAGCUUACUAGGCUGUAACUGACGCUGAGGCACGAAAGUGUGGGGAUCAAACAGG
rnacentral:rRNA from 1 species